rnacentral:rRNA from 1 species
CCUACGGGGGGCUGCAGUGGGGAAUAUUUCACAAUUUUUUAAACCCUUAUUCAUCUACUCCUCUUUAUCUAAUAAUUAUUUCUUUAUUUACAGCUCUAUCAGCAGGGAAGAAAAUGACGGUACCUGAGUAAGAAGCUCCGGCUAAAUACGUGCCAGCAGCCGCGGUAAUACGUAUGGAGCAAGCGUUAUCCGGAUUUACUGGGCGUUAAGGGAGCGUAGGCGGCCUGCCAAGUCUGAUGGGAAAUACUGGGGCUCAACCCCGGGGCUGCAUUGGAAACUGGCAGGCUGGAGUGCCGGAGGGGCAGGCGGAAUUCCGAGUGUAGCGGUGAAAUGCGGAGAUAUUAGGAGGAACACCAGUGGCGAAGGCGGCCUGCUGGACGGUGACUGACGCUGAGGCUCGAAGGCGAGGGGAGCGAACAGGAUUAGAUACCCGGGUAGUC